GCCGGGAUAGCUCAGCUGGGAGAGCAGUAGACUGAAGGGUGCUCUUCCGAGCCUUCGUGUUCUAAAGGUCCUGUGUUCAAUCCACGGUCCUGGCA